UGGAUCGACACCCUGAGGCACCACACUGGCUUCACUGAAGCGCAGCUGAUGUAAGCAUGCACUGAAUCAUCUCCAUUGUAGCUUGAACCUGUGAUUUCAUUCAGUUCAGGGGCACCGACAGAGACAACUCUUUUCUGUGAUGACUGAUUUCAGGGACGCCGCCAAGAUCCUGAUUGGAGGGCAUGGUAUGAAGCCGCGGUUCUUUGGCCAGGAGACAAGGCAAAGAUCUUGUCGCUGGCAUGGACGGUAGGCAAUUGCAGAUUGGUCCGACGAAAGGUAGCCUAACCCCAGCGAGCCUCUUGUUUUGUUCAGAAGAGGAAUUCUGUGUCAUUUCCAUGUGGUCGUUUGGUGCAGGUACAACUUACUUUGCUCCACGUUGCUUAUCGUCAUAGCGGCAUCCAACAUCCAUAGUCAAAUGCUGCCAUAUGUUAGGAAGUUUAUGUUGAUAUAUGUGAUUCUGAUAUGUUCGCCGAAUGCGGAUGUGGGAAAGGUCACAUGAUUGAUAUAUACAAGCCAUAUUGGUAUUAUUUUUAGCAUGCUCUGGAGUGAAAUACAAUAACUACGGAAUGAUGUUUAAAUAAUUUCUGUUUCGGUUCA